UUGUAUGAUAUGUUAAAAGCUGCAGAGUGAGAGUUGUGGCCCGGUUGUAAAACUCACACACAACUUUCAUUAGUAGAACGAUUGAUGAGUUUGAAAUCAGAAAACAACAUGUCAGAGCGUUGUUUUGAUCAAAUCUGUGAGUUAAUGAAAGAGCUUGUUCCUGGAGAUAAUUUGGUGACAGAAAACUUCUACAGUGCCAAGAAAAUGAUGCGUGGGCUGGGUUUGCCAGUAGAGAAGAUAGAUUGCUGUCGAAACAAUUGCAUGCUCUUUUGGGGGUUGAUCAAAAUUUAAAUGAGUGUAAGUUUUGUGAGGCAAAACGUUAAAAAGUUUGAGUGGUGCAAGUGGGAGCCGACAACGACAGCGUGUUGCAGUCAGUCGGAUGCACUAUUUUCCAAUCACUCCAAGGCUUCAAAGGUUUUAUGCAUCUAAAGCUACUGCAGCUGAAAUGCAUUGGCAUCACACCUCGGUGGCUAAUGGUGUGAUGAGACAUCCUUCUGAUUCGAAGGCGUGGAAACAUUUCAACGAUACAUUUCCAGAAUUUGCAGCUGAUAUUAAAAAUGUCAGAUUGGUACACUGUACAGAUGGAUUUCAACCAUUUAAUAAAUAUGGGAAAUAAUACUCAUCAUGGCCAUUAAUAAUUACCCCAUAUAAUUUUCCACCUUGGAUGUGCAUGAGAGACCAACAUAUGUUUCUCAUGUCACGGCUGUAAUUCCUGGCCCACAUAAUCCAAAAGACAUGAUUGAUAUCUUUCUCCAACCACUUAUAGCUGAAUUGAGUCAUUUGUGGGAAGUAGGUGUUCAGACUUGUGACGUUUCACUAAAGAAUAAUUUUCAAGUAAAAAUCAAAGUAGGAGAGAUUGGUUGGCAGCUUGUAAGAUGAAGGCAAGACCACUUGUAGAAGUAUCAACUAUUCAAAAUAUUCUUAUGGAUCCUACUCCUUUUCAAGAAGAGCUUGUUGAUAGAACCCCUCACACGACAAUUGAUGAUGAUAUCAUGCCAAUUCAUCCAGAUGGUGCUUUGGUAUAUCCAGUAGAUGAGGAUGAUGAAGAAGAUGUUGACAACAAUGAAUAUGUCAUAGAAACAUCUGACUCUACAAAUAAUGAUUCAGAUGAUAACGAAUAAAACAUGUGCUUGUGUUUUAUUUUGGGCAUGAUGUUUUUUCUACCUUUGAUAUGUGAAAUUUAGGUAAAUAAUGAUUCAGAUGAUUAUUUAGAUCUUUGAAAUGACUAUCAUCCUUGUUUUUUCUACCUUAUGCAAUUAUAUGAUAUUAUGAUAUCAAAAUUCUAAAUCAUUCAUGUUGUUAUAUAAUUGACAUAUAUCUUAUCUAUACAACUCUUAUUUUGUAAUAUAGAUAAGCACCCAACCACUUAGUAGCACCUCUACUUCUAGUGAUGAGGUCCAACAGCAGCAUGCGUCGUCACAUAUCUCUCGGUCAGGCGAGAAUAUCACUGUUCUUCCUAAUGGGAAGAUUUUAUGCACUUUAACUAAUGGGAUUUUACGACCAAGCAAUAAAAUCCGGCGUCACACAUCACGUACUUUUCAAGCAUACAUAGAGAUCACUGGCACCUCAUGGAAGGCGCUUACUGAAGACACGAUUGAAGUUUACUUCAAUCGGUUUAUUAAUGCAUUUGAGUGGGACCCUUCUAUGUAUUCAAGAGAAGUUAUCCGCACUGCAUGGAUCAAGAUAGCUAGAGUUGCUUACAAGGACUUUUUGAGCGCGACAAAAAAGCUCGUCUUAAUUGAAAAGAAGCCGCCACUAUAUCUGAAGGAAAAUGUUCAAACGGCUUGGAAAGCCAAUUGGGAUCUACCUGAAGUGAAGCGCAUAUCCGAGCACGCGAGCAAGAACCGACGCUCUAAACCUGGUGGACCCGGUAUAGGAAUCGCCAUACAUCAUGGCAGCUCACGUAGUGCCAUUGACCACGACCACGCAUCUGGCUCGGGAAAAGAAUAUCACAGUUGAUUGUGCUGCGUAUAAUACAUUUCUACGCAUACACCGGAAGGGAGGAUUAUACACUAGCCCACGUUCCGAGGCACACGCGGAAG